GCCUUCAGCAGUAGGUAGAGUUGUGUGAAGACCAGAGGGAUGAUAAUGAGGCAAAAGUAAAGAAAUAAAUAAUAUUGAAAAAUAAAAUCAAAUUCAUUCCAUACCCAUCCCAUGACGACCAUCAUUAUUGGCCGAACAUUUCUUUGCCCAUAAUUUUUUCAAAAACAUCUUUUCAAAGGAAUCUAUGAGUAGAAGAAUUCUGUAG
rnacentral:lncRNA from 1 species